UACGGAGGGUGCAAACGUUGCUCGGAAUCAUUGGGCGUAAAGCGCAUGUAGGCGGCUUGUUAAGUCGGGUGUGAAAGCCCAGGGCUCAACCCUGGAAGUGCAUUCGAAACUGGCGAGCUUGAAUAUGGACGAGGGUCGCGGAAUUCCCGGUGUAGAGGUGAAAUUCGUAGAUAUCGGGAGGAACACCAGUGGCGAAGGCGGCGACCUGGGCCAAUAUUGACGCUAAGAUGCGAAAGCGUGGGGAGCAAACAGG
rnacentral:rRNA from 1 species